UACGUAGGGGGCAAGCGUUGUCCGGAAUCAUUGGGCGUAAAGAGCGUGUAGGCGGCCCGGUAAGUCCGCUGUAAAAGUCAAAGGCUCAACCUUUGAAUGUCAGUGGAUACUGCCGGGCUAGAGUCCGGAAGAGGCGAGUGGAACUCCUGGUGUAGCGGUGGAAUGCGCAGAUAUCAGGAAGAACACCAACGGCGAAGGCAGCUCGCUGGGACGGUACUGACGCUGAGACGCGAAAGCGUGGGGAGCGAACAGG
rnacentral:rRNA from 1 species